rnacentral:rRNA from 1 species
AACAGGAUUAGAUACCCUGGUAGUCCACGCCGUAAACGAUGCUAACUCGUUUUUGGGUUUUCGGAUUCAGAGACUAAGCGAAAGUGAUAAGUUAGCCACCUGGGGAGUACGGACGCAAGUCUGAAACUCAAAGGAAUUGACGGGGGCCCGCACAAGCGGUGGAUUAUGUGGUUUAAUUCGAUGAUACGCGAGGAACCUUACCAAGGCUUAAAUGGGAAAUGACAGGUUUAGAAAUAGACUUUUCUUCGGACAUUUUUCAAGGUGCUGCAUGGUUGUCGUCAGCUCGUGCCGUGAGGUGUUAGGUUAAGUCCUGCAACGAGCGCAACCCCUGUCACUAGUUGCCAUCAUUCAGUUGGGGACUCUAGUGAGACUGCCUACGCAAGUAGAGAGGAAGGUGGGGAUGACGUCAAAUCAUCACGGCCCUUACGCCUUGGGCCACACACGUAAUACAAUGGCCAGUACAGAGGGCAGCUACCAGGCGACUGGAUGCGAAUCUCGAAAGCUGGUCUCAGUUCGGAUUGGAGUCUGCAACUCGACUCUAUGAAGCUGAAAUCGCUAGUAAUCGCGCAUCAGCCAUGGCGCGGUGAAUACGUUCCCGGGCCUUGUACACACCGCCCGUCAAGCCAUGGAAGUCUGGGGUACCUGAAGUCGGUGACCGUAACAGGAGCUGCCUAGGGUAAAACAGGUAACUAGGGCUAAGUCGUAACAAGGUAACC